rnacentral:rRNA from 1 species
UACAGAGGGGGCGAGCGUUGUUCGGAAUUACUGGGCGUAAAGGGCGCGUAGGCGGCCUGCUAAGUCAUACGUGAAAUCCCUCGGCUCAACCGAGGAACUGCGUCUGAUACUGGUUGGCUUGAAUUCGGGAGAGGGAUGCGGAAUUCCAGGUGUAGCGGUGAAAUGCGUAGAUAUCUGGAGGAACACCGGUGGCGAAGGCGGCAUCCUGGACCGCAACUGACACUGAAAAACGAAAGCCAGGGGAGCAAACGGG